rnacentral:tRNA from 1 species
ACUGGUUUGGCCGAGUGGUCUAAGACGCCAGAUUUAGGCUACUGGUCUGAAAGGGCGUGGGUUCAAAUCCCACAGCCGUCA